rnacentral:sRNA from 1 species
GCCAGGCUGCGGGUUAGGGGGUUCGUCUCUCUGCGUCCUCGGUUCUGGGAGGCCUUGGUGAUUCGGCCACAGCCUCAGCCUCCGUCGCUCUGUGACCUGCGGGUAUUGGAUGAUUGGUAGCUGAGACUGCCGAAUACCCCAGAAGUGGGGAAAUGGAACUCUUAACAUUCAGGGAUGUGGCCGUAGAAUUCUCUCCAGAAGAGUGGAAAUGCCUGGACCCUGCCCAGCAGAAUUUGUAUAGAGAUGUGAUGUUGGAGAACUACAGGAACCUGGUCUCCCUGGGUAUUGCUAUCUCUAACCCAGACCUGGUCACCUGUCUGGAGCAAAGAAAAGAGCCCUACAACGUGAAGAUACAUAAGAUCGUAGCCAGACCCCCAGAUGGAGUUUUGCUCUUGUCACCCAGACUUGAGUGCGAUAGCACGAUCUUGGCUGACUGCAACCUACGCCUCCCAAGUAGCUGGGAUUAGUCAUGAGCCACCACACCUGGCUAAUUUUUAUAUUUUUAGUAGAGAUGGGGUUUCACCAUGUUGGCCAGGCUGGUCUCGAACUCCUGACCUCAAGUGAUCUGCCCGCCUCAGCCUCCCAAAGUGCUGGGAUUACAGGCGUGAGCCAUUGUGCCCGGCUCUCUUUUUUAUAACUCAUUUUGUUCAUGCAUUAUUGCAAAAAAAAUUAGUAAUCUGUGUA